rnacentral:lncRNA from 1 species
UAGUUCCCAUCAACCAGCAUAUGGUGGACUACCGGUCGAUCUUACUUUCAUUACUUUUUGAUUGCUUUUAUUGUAAAUACAAUUUCACACUCUUUAUGCAAUGCAAUUGCGAUUUAUCUAAAAAAAAUAGUGCACUUUGAAAUUGUAUGUGUACAGCUAAAUUAUUGCCCGGGCCCAAUUGGCAGAGCCCAAACGGCCCAAUAAGCCCAACCGGCCCCAAACCCAGUCAGACUAGGGCGGAAACCCUAGCCAAGCCUAGCGCCGUGCCCAUCCCUCUGCCAUCGCUUUGUCCCAUCGCCACCCACCUGCUCCACCGCCUUGCAAACGUUGCCCACACGCCACCACCAACUCCUCUGGCACCUGCAAUCAAAAGAAAAAGAACAGAGCAGAGCAAGGCAGCAAGCAACAGUAGCCACAUUUUCUUAAUAUUGUAAUCGGCUAUAAAGCCUAAAGGAGAUCAGUUUGUAUCGGGGGGAUUUCAUUUUUUGUUUCGGUAUAAAGAAACCGAUUGCAAACCAUUGUAGAGGGGACACUAGUGAAUCAAAGGCAAAAGAAAAACAACAUUUUGAGAAAUAAAAGAACCGAAAUCGUGUCUUAAGGUGGUGGCCUUCUUUUUUUCUUUUUGUUCUUUUUCUUGCUAUUUUAUUAUUUAUAUUCAAAAUAAAAGAAUAAAAAAGGAAGUUUUUACCGUUUUUUCGUCGUCGUUGGAGUGCUCGGAAUCAGAGGGUUGCGUCGAAGAAAAAAGGGGGAGACUUUUGGUCUCCCCGCCGCCGUGCACGGCGGUGCCAGCGCCAGCGACCGGUGAUCGACACGGUGGCUCUCGGCCGGGCUAUUGACCGGAGAAGAAAGAGGGAGAGAGAUUUCAGAGAGAAAUUUUUAGUUUUUU